rnacentral:rRNA from 1 species
CCGGGUGAGUAACACGUGACUAACCUACCCUCGAGUGUGGAAUAACAUCGGGAAACCGAUGCUAAUACCGCAUAACAUCUUUGAAGUGGAAAUUUCGGAGAUCAAAGGAGCAAUUCGCUGGAAGAGGGGGUCGCGGCUGAUUAGCUAGUUGGCGGGGUAAUGGCCCACCAAGGCUUUGAUCGGUAGCCGGCCUGAGAGGGCGCACGGCCACACUGGAACUGAAACACGGUCCAG